rnacentral:misc_RNA from 1 species
AAAAAAGAAAAAAAGAAAAUAAAAUCCAUUUUAGUUCUAGUUAGUUUUAGGCUGAUGAAUGCACAGUAGCAUUGAGAUAUGUAAUGAGCUCCAAAAAGGAGCAGCAGCAGAAGAAGAAAAAUCUCAAUUCUGUGAAGGUGGUCGAAGGAAGCAAUUGUAAACAGUCGGUCUCUGCAGGUUGUACCAACAGAAGAAUAAAUGGAAAUAUUCCUACAUUACCAUCUCCAUUCCCUUUGUUGUGCUUAUAUACAUAGUGAAGACAG